GGAGACUGUAAGUUUUUCAUAGUAAAUUCUUAAAGGAAAAAUAGAAUUAUUCGUGAAAAUAAUUCAGUCAAACUAAUAAUAGAUAAAAAAAAACUUGUUAAAAAUAUAAUAACAUUAAUUUCCAUCAAUAUUUUACAAUUUAUUCGAAUUAUACACCAUUCUUUAAUUGUAAAACAGUUCAAAUAUUAAAAUCAAUUAUAUUCAAUCACACAAUGCAGCCUUGAGCACCCAGUAACACAAUAAGGCCAAACAACUUCCUAUAACACAAAUGGUAGUCCCAAGACCUGAUGAGGAAUGUGGCAUUACUGCAUACACACCUGCCAUGAAUGCCACCGCCAUUAAAGUCAUAGCAAGAACAGUGAAAAGAAAUGCCCAAAGGAAUAGAAAAUAGAACUUUCUAUUGGUUGGUUGCACUGCCAAAAUGAAGUGGAUAAGCACAACAGAAAUGGAGAGGGCCAAGGCAAUGGUAUCGGUUACAAGGAACGUUUUGAAGGCUGAUUUUCUAGUUAAAACUGCUGUUCCUUCGUCAAGGCCAUCUUCAUCACUGUAACCACCAGGUAAGGUGAAACCUGCGGCAAAAGUUACUGUUGCAAUGAGGGCGGCCACUAUCUGAUGGGAUUCACUCGCUUUCUGGAGGGAAGACAUUAACUCAUUGUCGAUUAUUGGUGUCUUAUCAGCCGUUGCCUGCCCGAUUGAAUGCCGACCUCGUUUAUAUCCAGCCUUCUUUAGGUGUUUUACUGUAGAUCCCUGUAACAUGAAAGUUCAUUCACUAUUUUUUUCCCAAAACAAAUCAAUGCCUAUACCAAUCAAAGUGAAUAAUUUUUCAUUUUGGCUCGUUGCUCCAGCUGUCUAUGAGGUUUCAAAGUUCAAUGUAAAAAUAGGACUAUCAUUACCUACAGUUUGUGAGAUUAAGUUGAUUUACCAGAAAUAGCGCAUAGCUUUUAUCCUUUGUUGCCAUCACCAUGUCCAGAGCUGUUAAAUUUGCUUUGUUGACAGUCAUUUUAUCAACGACGCGGUGUCGUAUAAGAGAACUAGCAUCUAAACCAUGAGUAGCAAGUAGAUGGACCGGAGUGUUCCCAUCUUCAUCUUCCUGAUUAAUUAGGUCAGCGAGGAAAGGUUUUUCAGUAAUAGUUUUCACUCCUUCAAAACUCCCGCUUUCCACAGCAAAAUGGAGAACAUUUCGGCCUCUAUUAUCAACCAGGUCGCAACAAUCUGGGCAGUCUGACAUAAUUUUUUUCACCACCUCUAAAUUGUUUGCUUCGUUAAGAAGCGCUACAUGAAGAGGUGUCUUUCCAUCUUUGUCGCCAAUAUAGGCAGCAGAUUUAUCAUGCUCUAGUAACAUAUCCACAAUUGAAAGAUGAUUGGCAUAGGAAGCAUAAUAAAGCGGAGUCCAUCCUUCGUUGUCUUGUUCUUUGGCCAAAUUGCUCUUUUGUUUCAGUAGUUUUCCUGUCAGAUCUGCAUCUGGACUUAUCACAGCUU
rnacentral:misc_RNA from 1 species